UACCAGCACCCCGAGUGGUCGGGACGUUUAUUGGGCCUAAAGCAUCCGUAGCCGGUUCUGCAAGUCUUCCGUUAAAUCCACCUGCUUAACAGAUGGGCUGCGGGAGGAUACUACAAGGCUAGGAGGCGGAAGAGGCAAGCGGUACUCAGUGGGUAGGGGUAAAAUCCUCUGAUCCAUUGAAGACCACCAGUGGCGAAGGCGGCUUGCCAAUACGCGCUCGACGGUGAGGGAUGAAAGCUGGGGGAGCAAACAGG
rnacentral:rRNA from 1 species